UGAGGAGAAUGGUUUAAGUUUGGGGGAGUUUUUGAAAUAAGGGAGCAUUGAGAAAAUAAUAACUUGAGUCAAAAAGAAAGAAAAAGAAGAAAGAAGAAGAAAAGAAUAAAAAUGCAUUCAAUGAACAAGAGUUGGGAAAUAAGUUGAGAAGUGGUUUAUCCAAUUGUGAAGCAAAAAGAGAGACUAAUGUUAUAUCAUGAAGUAAAUUGUUUUCUCUCUUAGCUCAAGGUGNUUUGUUGUCCAGAAAAACCAAUUUUUCUUCUUAGCCCAGCCACAUUACAAGCCUUAAAAAGUCCUUGUGAUGCUAACUUGCUUGUGAAUGUGUUUGA
rnacentral:lncRNA from 1 species